rnacentral:rRNA from 1 species
CCAGACUCCUACGGGAGGCAGCAGUGAGGAAUAUUGGUCAAUGGCCGGAAGGCUGAACCAGCCAUGCCGCGUGAAGGUCAGUGCCCUAUGGGCGUUAAACUUCUUUUGUGCGGGAGCAAUAAUGGUCACGUGUGGCCAGACGAGAGUACCGUACGAAUAAGCAUCGGCUAACUCCGUGCCAGCAGCCGCGGUAAUAAGGAGGAUGCGAGCGUUACCCGGUUUUAUUGGGUUUAAAGGGUGCGCAGGCGGAGGCACAAGUCAGGGGUAAAAUCGCGGGGCUCAACCCCGCUCCGCCGUUGAAACUGUGUCCCUUGAGUGCGCGAAGGGUAGGCGGAAUGCGUGGUGUAGCGGUGAAAUGCAUAGAUAUCACGCAGAACUCCGAUUGCGAAGGCAGCAUGCCGGCUCCACACUGACGCUGAGGCACGAAAGCGUGGGUAUCGAACAGGAUUAGAUACCCCCGUAA